AGCGAACGCUGGCGGCAGGCUUAACGCAUGCAAGUCGAGCGGGCACUUCGGUGUCAGCGGCAGACGGGUGAGUAACACGUGGGAACGUACCCUUCGGUUCGGAAUAACGCUGGGAAACUAGCGCUAAUACCGGAUACGCCCUUUUGGGGAAAGGUUUACUGCCGAAGGAUCGGCCCGCGUCUGAUUAGCUAGUUGGUGGGGUAAUGGCCUACCAAGGCGACGAUCAGUAGCUGGUCUGAGAGGAUGAUCAGCCACACUGGGACUGAGACACGGCCCAGACUCCUACGGGAGGCAGCAGUGGGGAAUAUUGGACAAUGGGCGCAAGCCUGAUCCAGCCAUGCCGCGUGAGUGAUGAAGGCCUUAGGGUUGUAAAGCUCUUUUGUCCGGGACGAUAAUGACGGUACCGGAAGAAUAAGCCCCGGCGAACUUCGU
rnacentral:rRNA from 1 species